rnacentral:rRNA from 1 species
UGGGGGAUAUUGCACAAUGGGCGAAAGCCUGAUGCAGCGACGCCGCGUGGGGGAUGAAGGCUUUCGGGUUGUAAACCUCUUUCGCUAUCGAACAAGGUCCGCUUAGGGUGGGUUGAGGGUAGGUGGAGAAGAAGCGCCGGCUAACUACGUGCCAGCAGCCGCGGUAAUACGUAGGGCGCGAGCGUUGUCCGGAAUUAUUGGGCGGAAAGGGCUUGUAGGCGGCCUGUUGCGCCUGCUGUGAAAACGCGGGGCUUUACUUCGCGCGUGCAGGGGCUACGGGCGGGCUUGAGUGUGGUAGGGGUGCCUGGAAUUCCCGGGGUAGCGGUGGAAUGCGCAGAUAUCUGGGGGAACACAGAUGGCGAAGGCAGGUCACUGGGCCAUUACUCACGCUGAGGAGCGAAAGCAUGGGUAGCGAGCAGG